rnacentral:pre_miRNA from 1 species
CACCUACUCCCUCCGUUCCGAAUUACUUGUCUUGGAUUUGUCUAGAUACGGAUGUAUCUAGACUCAUUUUAGUGCUAGAUACCUCCGUAUCUAGACAAAUCUAAGACAAGUAAUUCAGAACGGAGGGAGUACCAA